rnacentral:miRNA from 3 species
GGGCUCGACUCCUGUUCCUGCUGAACUGAGCCAGUGUGUACAACGAGAACUGAUAUCAGCUCAGUAGGCACCGGAGGGCGGGUCC